CAUAACCAUGUUCAGAACCACACAUGAACAAGAAACAGUGAUCUUAAAUCCUAAUUACUUUCAUCACAUUAACAAAGCAAACCAUCCAAAAAAAUCAAUCAGAAUCGUAAAUAAAAUUCAAAAGAGAAGAACACUACCAGAUCGAAAUCAGUGGUAGAUCUAGCGCGGCGACGGUUGCAUGAUUUCAACGAGGGUUCUUUCGUGGAGGACGGUGGUGCGGUGUGCGGUAUAGGUUCAAAAGGACCAAAUAAAGAUACAAACAAUUCACACUACACACAGUAAAAACAAGAUUAGAAAUUACCGAUCCGAAAGUUAUCGGAGGAAGAAUCCACAAAGGUAUGUCUCGCUCUAGUUCUUCUUUUCUCUUGUUCUUCCUCUUUCUUUUGUUAAUGCCUUUUGUUCUUUACUGCGAGGUUGCUUUGGAUUGGUGGCUGGGCUUCACGGAUGGAGAAUAGGGUUUAGUUGUUGUUGUUUUUCAAUGUGAAGAACAACAACUUUAGGGUAAUGAGUUUGUAAUUAUGGGUGACUGGAAAGUGUAAAUAUGUGUGCUAUUUAUAGAUGGAGAAUUAAGUCACAAAUUGAAUGAGAUUAUUUAUUUUUAGAAA